rnacentral:rRNA from 1 species
UACGUAGGGGGCAAGCGUUGUCCGGAAUCAUUGGGCGUAAAGCGCGCGUAGGCGGCCCGGUAAGUCCGCUGUGAAAGUCGGGGGCUCAACCCUCGGAUGCCGGUGGAUACUGUCGGGCUUGAGUGCGGAAGAGGCGAGUGGAAUUCCUGGUGUAGCGGUGAAAUGCGCAGAUAUCAGGAGGAACACCAAUUGCGAAGGCAGCUCGCUGGGACGUUACUGACGCUGAGACGCGAAAGCGUGGGGAGCGAACAGG